GUAGGGGAAGCCGAAAACCUCAUAGAGUAGGUA
rnacentral:ncRNA from 1 species